AAAAAAGGCAAAACUGUCGAAAGGCAGUGACGCAAAGCGAAGAGCCUACGGUGUUUUCACACUAUGGUAGUCUGGUUGC
rnacentral:ncRNA from 1 species